UUUUGGUAAGAUACCUGGGCUAUUACCGCGAAAAUCGAAGUUCGUCAAUUGCGGACAUUUUUCUCUGUCACUCUAAUUACGUCUUAGUGAGAGUGAAAGACAAAGAUUCCCGCAAUUUGCGAAUUUCGGUUUUCGUCGUAGGUCCCCUGACCGGCUAGCAUAAGUUGCGUUCUUGCGCGCGAUUCCAUACUUGAAGUCGAGCAAGAUGUAUGAAGUCGCACGCAACUCAUGCUAGCUGGUCAGCGUGCCAAUCGUGCCAAUCGUUCACGCUCCGUAGCGAACGAAACGGAAAUGUCACAGUCGCACUAAUAUGGAAGAGUGUUAACCAUUAUAACGUUGGCUACGCGGCCUAGCCAGUCUCACAGCCAUAGAUUAGGCAAGGCGUUCUGCCACUGUUGAACGAAUAAUAUCGCUAACAUGAACCUAGUAUAACUGGACCAGGCAUGAGCGGUGGGGGGAAAUAACCGAACGGGAUAGUCUUAAGUAUCUUUCAGUAGGAGUAGGAGUAGCAGUAGUAGUAUAAUUGUUUGUCCUUGUCAGAGUCUCAUUUUUUUAUUCCCUGCCGUAAAAAGUACCUAUGGUUUAUAGUGGGUAACAGAUAACCCGACCAAAUUACGUAGGUUGUUUUUGGUAUGUUGUCAGGAAUGCUAAAACGUGUUUUUAAUUUUGUCGUAUUGCGUAUGUUCUGUUCUGUCCCUCACAGGCGCACGCGUAAAGCACAUCUAUACGAUCCUACCAUCUAUGAUCAUUAUCAUUAAUAAUUUUACAUGCACAAGUCUGAUAGGAGAUAUAGAAUAAUUCGCCUUCUAUACCUUAAUGGUACCUAAAUUCAAUUCGACGCGCCGCGGUUCUUCGUCAAUGGACACAGUUUCAUAAUAUAUGUAUAGGAGGUGAAUUAUUGCGAUCGCCUCGGCGAGCCUAGUGGACGCCAGCCUUUAUACUUAUUUUACUCUUUGGACUCGUUUAAAUCCAUCUACUAAAACCUUCUUGCACUUUUACGAGUAGACUGACAUUAUCAUGGCGUUUUCUUUGAUUAUUGACAAGCUAAAUAAACUUAACAAUGAAACGAUUGAAAUAACAACUUAAAAAGAAUCAACCUGAAAAUGUUCAAGAUUAAAAGUGUAUAUCAAUGAUAAUGACCAUUUACGAAGGCACAGAUUUUAACGUCUUCUGCUGUGAAAACUGCACGGAUGACACGUUGCUAUUUUACGCCGAAAAAUAUAAACCCCUACUCUUCUUGGCAGGGUUGCUUUUGGUUGUCCUUAGCCUAGCUUACAAAUUGAUUCGUUGUCACCGCUAUCGUCAGCGUUCUCGUCGGCGUUGUCUGCAAGCUUUAAAUCGAAUGAGAUACCCUUGCAACUAAACUAGAUGGAACUAAAUCUAAUAUUAACAUCGCAAAUGACAAAGCAUCGUAUAAGGCAAUUAGCAGAUUACUUUGGAAAUAGGCAUCUUUGGCUAUCUGAAACAGACGAGCCAUGUUCGAGUCUCCAGUCUCCCGGACCAUGGAGGACAGCCGACUGUUGGGGUCGGAGAGCAGGUGGUAGGGGUAGUCAAACUCCGCCACCACGCCGCUGUCCAUCACCAGCACGCGGUCCGAGUCCAUGAUGGUAUUGAGCCGAUGAGCGAUCGUCAGCACCGUACAUGACGCGAAUUUGCUACGGAUCGUUUUCUGUAUAAAAUUGUCAGUCCUGAAAAUAAAUUAAAAACUAUGUACAGACUUA